rnacentral:snRNA from 1 species
GCCUUCGGGCAUCCGGUUAUUUGAAACAAUACAGAGAAGAUUAGCAUGGCCCCUGCACUAAGGAUGACACGCUCAAUCAAAGAGUAGCUACCAUUUUUU